rnacentral:rRNA from 1 species
UGGGGAAUAUUGCACAAUGGGCGAAAGCCUGAUGCAGCAACGCCGCGUGAGCGAUGAAGGCCUUCGGGUCGUAAAGCUCUGUCCUCAAGGAAGAUAAUGACGGUACUUGAGGAGGAAGCCCCGGCUAACUACGUGCCAGCAGCCGCGGUAAUACGUAGGGGCUAGCGUUAUCCGGAUUUACUGGGCGUAAAGGGUGCGUAGGUGGUUUCUUAAGUCAGGAGUGAAAGGCUACGGCUCAACCGUAGUAAGCUCUUGAAACUGGGAAACUUGAGUGCAGGAGAGGAAAGUGGAAUUCCUAGUGUAGCGGUGAAGUGCGUAGAUAUUAGGAGGAACACCAGUAG